rnacentral:rRNA from 1 species
UACAGAGGGUGCAAGCGUUUGUUCGGAAUUACUGGGCGUAAAGCGCGCGCAGGCGGAUCCUGUAAGUCGGAAGUGAAAUCUCACUGCUCAACGGUGAGACUGCUACUGAUACUGCGGAUCUGGAGACCGGUAGAGGCUGGUAGAAUUGCAGGUGUAGCGGUGGAAUGCGUAGAGAUCUGCAAGAAUACCCGUGGCGAAGGCGGCCAGGCUCGGGCCGGGUUCUGACGCUGGAGG